GGUGAGGUAGCUCAGCUGGUUAGAGCGCAGGACUCAUAAUCCUGAGGUCGUGAGUUCAAGUCUCACUCUCACUACCA
rnacentral:tRNA from 1 species